rnacentral:rRNA from 1 species
UCUCAAGACUAAUACUCUUGAGUGUUGACGUUACCCAUAGAAGAAGCACUGGCUAACUCUGUGCCAGCAGCCGCGGUAAUACAGAGAGUGCAAGCGUUAAUCGGAAUCACUGGGCGUAAAGCGCGCUUAGGUGGAUAUUUAAGUCAGAUGUGAAAGCCCUGGGCUUAACCUAGGAAUUGCAUCUGAUACUGAAUGUCUCGAGUAUGGUAGAGGGAAGUGGAAUUUCCGGUGUAGCGGUGAAAUGCGUAGAUAUCGGAAAGAACACCAGUGGCGAAGGCGGCUUCCUGGACCAAUACUGACACUGAGGUGCGAAAGCGUGGGGAGCAAACAGGAUUAGAGACCCUGGUAGUCCACGCCGUCAACGAUGAGAACUAGCUGUUAGAAAGUUUACUUUCUAGUAGCGAAGCUAACGCGUUAAGUUCUCCGCCUGGGGAGUACGGCCGCAAGGUUAAAACUCAAAGAAAUUGACGGGGGCCCGCACAAGCGGUGGAGCAUGUGGUUUAAUUCGAUGCAACGCGAAAAACCUUACCUACCCUUGACAUCCUCG